GAUGAACGCUGGCGGCGUGCCUAAUACAUGCAAGUCGAGCGAACAGACGAGGUGCUUGUUCCUCCUACGUUAGCGGCGGACGGGUGAGUAACACGUGGAUAACCUACCUUUAAGACUGGGACAACUUUGGGAAACCGGUGCUAAUACCGCAUAAAAUAUUUAACCACAUGGUUUAAUAUUGAAAGAUGGUUUUGCUUUCCUCUAAAGUGGUCUCCGCGUCGCUUUACUUAGUUGGUAAGUUAACGCCUUACCAAGGCAACGAUGAGAAGCCGACCUAGAAGGGUGAUCGGCCACACUGGAACUGAGACCCGGUCCAGCCUCCUACGGGAGGCAGCAGUAGGGAAUCUUGCGCAAUGGGCGAAAGCCUGCCGGAGCAACGCCGCGUGGGUGAGGAAGGUCUUCGGAUCGUAAAACUCUGUUAUUAGGGAAGAACAAAUGUGUAAGUAACUAUGCACGUCUUGACGGUACCUAAUCAGAAAGCCACGGCUAACUACGUG
rnacentral:rRNA from 1 species